rnacentral:rRNA from 2 species
CAAACUUAAGAGUUUGAUCCUGGCUCAGAACGAACGCUGGCGGCAGGCCUAACACAUGCAAGUCGAACGGACUCUUCGGAGUUA